GGGGCGGGGGGGGAGAGAUAAUUCUGUACAGAGAAGUUCCCUCAUGUACAAUAUACAUACAGAUUUAAAAUAUGGUUUACUUCUAAGCAGAAUCAUUUGUUUUAAUGACAGAGAGCUCUCCACAUCCUGCAAUCUGAAAGCAUUUUGUGUAGUGAUUUCCUGAGUCUCAACAUUACAUUUGGAAGAUCAGAGGCAAUCAUUGAUUUCCAAUGAGGCCCUACAAGUUCAACAGGAACAUGGAUCUUAUUAAGCAGGGAAAAUGUUUGAACAUGUGUUUCUUGAAGACCCAGGGCCAUAGAGCUACAAUCUAAUUAAUUGAAAUUACCAAAAACUGUAAUAGUGAAUAGUGCCAAAGCUACAUCAGGAAAUAGCUACUACAGACUAAGCGAGGAUUCACUAGUUUACCAGGCCAGCCUCUAAAUUCUAUUUAACUCAAAAUGUAAUUGAAAACCUAUAUACCUGCAGUGAUUAACAAAUAGCACCAAAUAAUACCAUUAGUCAAGAGACACAUGAAGAAUAUGUCUACCCCAGAUUUAGGAACAAAAUGCAGAAAACACAAAUGUCUCUCUGAAUCCAUAUUCAUAUCUCUCUUAGUGCUUUGGCCGCAUAUUUUAGGAAGGUCAGUCUCAAUAACACACAUGUGUAAAAAUGCCAGCAGACUUAGAGUCUGAAAGCCACCUCUCCAACCUAUAGCUAUGUGAUCUCAUCUGUAAGACAGUCUUGCCUACCUUCCACUUUUAAAGUAGAAUGACUUCAUGCUGGGAAAAUAGAUUACUUUGUAAGUAAUAAUGCAUCAUUUGGUAUGAAGUGUUACUACUCCUUCAUUCAGCAAACAACUGUGCCAGGCACUGCUAGGCAUCAGGAGUUUAAAAAUGGAUAAUCCAGGCACUGUGCACAGGGAACUCACUGUCUGACAGCUUGUCAUUCCCCAUAGCAACCAAUCAGGUUUGUCUCAUCAGGAUAGAAACUCACAGGACAUGUAGAGUGCCUGCCUCUUAAGUAGCCUGGUAAGUUCCAAGUACUCCUCCAGCCUACCUCAUUCUAUGGUGAGUUAGGUUGGUAACCAGGCUGGAGGAUAGAGCAAAUACCCAGAGAAACCAAAGGACAGAGGAAAUAAAGACCCAAUCACACCACAAUUAGGCUUCAGGACUUUGUCUAAACAUUUCUGAGUCUCUAGCUGCAUGACUUUCCAUGGCCUUGGUACUUGGUUCCUCAUUCACCAUGUUUAGCAAGCAAAGAGCCCCCUUCCCAGUCCUCCAGAUAUAAGGACAGUUGAAAAUGCUUCCAUUGACCAAUGAGUUCAGAAGGAAUAUUGGAACACAGUUAGAAGGCUCUUGCUUGCAAAAUUAGUCCCCUCACACCAACUUUCAUCCAAUGACUGCCCUGGCAGAGGUUUGUUGGGCCUCCAUGCUACUGUAAGUAGGAAGGCAAGGAGCAUAACAUGGCAGGACUUAUGCAAGCUUCAAUUCACACCUCUUUUGCGGCUUUCCAAGGGCCACGCGGCAGCACAGUGUAACAACCACCAAGGGAGCCCAAGACCUUGACAUUUCCAACAAGAUGUUGCUGUUUGCUGCCAGCUACCUGUGCACUACUAGAAGAGACCACAUUUUUCAAAAAUAAGGCAGCUACCAGUUUAAUAGGAGAUCAAGCUGACUCCUAAUACAGAGCUCGUCCCACUAUCUCCUCUCCUACCAACAAACUUCUACAAAACCAAGGAGGACUAUUAAUCACUCUACUGCAUAAUAUAUUCAACCCAAGAAAAGGAAUAACCUGGGUAUGUGCCCUGACCUGGAAUUGAACCUGCCACCUUCUGG